rnacentral:lncRNA from 1 species
CAAGAUGCACCAAGCGCCGCCUUCUCAUAGUUUGUCUCUCUCAAAAAAAUCCAAAGAAAAAGUAAUAGAGAGAGUGAGAACCUGCAACUUUUUUCCAUAAAAUUUUCAUCCUCAACCAUAUAACUCACACAAUAACAACAACUCACCUUCUCCUUUUAUUUUCUUCACUGCCAAACAACCUUUUGCCAUCAUACCACCAUGAUAAAUUCCUCCUCCUUCAUCUUUGUUGUUAUGAACUGAUUUGCAAAGAAACAUACUUCUAUCCCGCUCUUGCGAAGAUCAAAUCGUCUCAAAAUCACAACCGUGUAAAUGCAGCUCAACCGACCACCACCAAGGGCCAUUAAUAGCGGAUCUCACGAAAAAUGUAACAAACUUCUAACCUCCUCAACUCAACACCACCAGCACCACGUGAAACCAAACUUCCAUGCCGGAACAAUGACACAACCAACUCCAACUCCUCCGCACCGGAACAACAAUGCAUAACUGAAUGUUUUUGUCAGCGUUGCCCCCUGCAUCCGGAUGGUAACUUUUGCUUUUAACAAUUAACUUUUUUUGAUACUUUAUUUGUAUGUGAAGUUUAGCUUGAAAAAUAAAAGAAUGUUAUGAUUUUUCUUUAUAAAAAAUGGAGAGAGAGUGUCAGUUUCUCAUGAAAAGGAAAUGAUGAGGAAAACAUGUUUUAAAAACUGAGAGUGAGAAGGAAGAGCUUUAUUAUGUUGUUUUUGAAAAGGGUAAGUUGUUACAUGGUCGAUGGCUUCAUGUUUAUGGUUAGAUAGCUUUCUUCGAAUGUGAGUAGUUUACAUUGUUCUUCAUUAUACUUGUUGCAGCAAGGAAAGUAAUGUUUACAUAUAUAGCAUCACUGGUUUGUUUUUUGCAUAUUUAAUGAUGAGAGCUUGUUCAUUUUAUUCAUAUUUAAUAUUUGAGCUUGUUCAUUUGAUGCAUAUUGAAUAGUUGAAUGUGUUCAUUUACUGCAUAUUUUAUGGUUGGAGUUUUGUUCAAUUUCUAUGGUUGGAGUUUUGUUCAAUUUCUAUGUCUAAAAGUUGCAUGAGUGUGAGUUCAUUUGUGAUUUAUUUAGUGAUGUCAAAAUGUUAGAAGUCCAAUAACAAUAUUGGGCUGUAUGUAUGCAUUAGGAAAAAAUAAAAUAAAUUGAAAUAUAAUGAAUGGCAUGUCUACGUGUGAAUAUAUGAAUUGUAACGUGUGAAUCUUCAACUUUCAUUCUUUUCUUUAUUU